CUCGUAGGUGGCCAACUAAGUCAGACGUGAAAUCCCCAGGCUCAACUUGGGAACUGCGUCUGAUACUGGAUGGCUUGAAUUCGGGAGAGGGAUGCAGAAUUCCAGGUGUAGCGGUGAAAUGCGUAGAUAUCUGGAGGAAUACCGGUGGCGAAGGCGGCAUCCUGGACCGAGAUUGACACUGAUGAGCGAAAGCUAGGGAGCAAACG
rnacentral:rRNA from 1 species